rnacentral:rRNA from 1 species
UACAGAGGUCUCAAGCGUUGUUCGGAUUCAUUGGGCGUAAAGGGUGCGUAGGCGGAUCUGCAAGUCGGGGGUGAAAUCCCGAGGCUCAACCUCGGAACUGCCUUCGAUACUGCGGGUCUCGAGUCCGGGAGAGGUGAGUGGAAUUCCUAGUGUAGAGGUGAAAUUCGUAGAUAUUAGGAAGAACACCAGUGGCGAAGGCGGCUCACUGGCCCGGUACUGACGCUGAGGCGCGAAAGCGUGGGGAGCAAACAGG